CACACCGCCCGUCACAUCACGAAAGUGGGCUGUACUAGAAGCCGGUGGGCUAACCGCAAGGAAGCAGCCGUCCAAGGUAUAACUCAUGAGUUGGGGUG
rnacentral:rRNA from 1 species